rnacentral:ncRNA from 1 species
GAGAGCCGGAUACUCGGAAACGGGUCUGUCCGGUUCGGAGGGAGGCCGGGCGGAAAAGGACCAGCCCACACGGCUGGCACCUCGCCGCUUGGCCGACCCUAC